AGUAGGGCCUACAUAUCCUAACAUUCCAGAUCCCACCUGAACACGGAAACUAAGCAGGGUCAGUCCAGGUUACUGCUUGGAUGGGAGAGCACCAGUGAAUAUUCUGUUGGCUUUAUUU
rnacentral:rRNA from 11 species